GGUCCGAGCCACGUUGAUGGUAGUCCUAAGUUGGCAAUGACCAUCAAUGCUAUGAUUGGACCUAAAAAAAUUUAAUUGUUUCGCAUUUUGAUAGGAAACUGUUUACUGAUUAUAAUCCAUUCAUUUACAGUGCCGUUUUGUGCGAUUACAUAU